GUGCUCUAGUUCGUCUUGGCCCAGAUCUAGAACUACCCUCAACGAUUUAUGUAGCCAUAAAAUACUAUUCUUUGGUUGAGAUCUGUUGACUUUGUAUACCAUUCCGUUGUAGUUGUAAAUAAACGAUCUUAUCGUAGAUCCAUUGUGAUCUUGAAAUUAUCUAAAAAUGGAAACAACAACCCUAGUCGCCAUCUCCAUAUCUAGUUUACUUGUAAGCUUUACUGGGUAGGCCUUAUAUACCGCUUUUGGGCAACCCUCUCAACAACUAAGAGAUCCAUUCGAAGAACACGGGGACUAGUUGAAGUAAUGAGUCUCCCAUAUUGGGAGGCUCAUUACUUCAAUUUAGAUAAUGAAAAAUUAUUUCAUUUUUGAGUUUUAGUCGGAACCUUAGGCGGUUCUCGAAAAAAGAUAGCGAAAAAAAUGAUCCCUAAAGUCGAGACUAAAAGGAAUGUAUAAACCAAUGCUUCCAUAGAUUCGAUCGUGGUUUACAAUUAUAGCUUCCACACCUAUUCAUUUGGGAUCAUUUACCAUAUAAAUAAAAGUCAAGAGUCAAAGAAUAAAUGGUGAUUCAAAUCAAGAUUUCUCCGGUACCUUAUGUCAAUUCAAAAAAAAUAGAGGCGAAAGAUACCAGAGCAAUGUAU